UACAGGGGGGGCAAGGCGUUGUUCGGAAUUACUGGGCGUAAAGGGUCUGUAGGUGGCCAACUAAGUCAGACGUGAAAUCCCUCAGCUUAACUGGGGAACUGCGUCUGAUACUGGAUGGCUUGAGUGUGGGAGAGGAAUGCGGAAUUCCAGGUGUAGCGGUGAAAUGCGUAGAUAUCUGGAGGAACACCGGUGGCGAAGGCAGCUCGCUGGGGACGGUACUGACGCUGAGGCGCGAAAAGCGUGGGGGAGCAAACAGGG
rnacentral:rRNA from 1 species